rnacentral:rRNA from 1 species
CGAAGUGCGAUAAGUAAUGUGAAUUGCAGAAUUCCGUAGAUCAUCGAAUUUUUGAACGCAAAUUGCA